rnacentral:lncRNA from 1 species
GACCAAGAUGGCCGCCAUGGCUAAAAAUAGAACAUAGGGUUAAAAUGCAGUUUUUGGCUUAUCACUCAAAAACCAAAGCAUUUAGAGCAAAUCUGACGUGUGGUAAAAUUGUUUAUCAGGUCAAGAUCUAUCCGCCCUGAAAUUUUGAGAUGAAUCGGACAACCCGUUGAUAGGUUGCUGCCCCUGAAUUGGUAAUUUUAAGGAAAUUUUGCUGUUUUUGGUUAUUAUCUUGAAUAUUAUUAUAGAUAGAGAUAAACUGUAAACAGCAAAAUGUUCAGCAAAGUAAGAUCUACAAAUAAGUCAACAUGACCAAAAUGGUCUGUUGACCCCUUUAGGAGUUAUUGCCCUUUAUAGUCAAUUUUUAACCAUUUUUCGUAAAUCUUAGUUAUCUUUUAACAAAAAUCUUCUCCUCUGAAAACUGCUGGGCAAAAUUAAACCAAACUUGGCCACAAUCAUCAUUCGGGUAUCUAGUUUAAAAAUUGUGUCCGGUGACCUGGCCAACCAACCAAGAUGGCCGCCAUGACUAAAAAUAGAACUUAGGGGUGAAAUGCAGUUUUUGGCUUAUCACUCAAAAACCAAAGCAUUUAGAGCAAAUCUGACAUGUGGUAAAAUUGUUUAUCAGGUCAAGAUCUAUCUGCAACAACAAAAGAGAGUUUUUAACGACCUCAGCUGGCUAUACAACCCUUGCACAAUCAACUGAAUUUUGCAGAAAUCAUUAAUAGGAUAGAUUGCCCUUAUAUCAUGUAUAUGAUAAUUUUUUAUUACCUUUUUGGUUUUU